GGGACCCUGAUGCAGCCAUGCCGCGUGUGUGAAGAAGGCCUUCGGGUUGUAAAGCACUUUCAGUUGUGAGGAAAGGUUGGUAGUUAAUACCUGCCAGCUGUGACGUUAACAACAGAAGAAGCACCGGCUAACUCCGUGCCAGCAGCCGCGGUAAUACGGAGGGUGCGAGCGUUAAUCGGAAUUACUGGGCGUAAAGCGCACGCAGGCGGCUUGUUAAGCUAGAGGUGAAAGCCCCGCGCUCAACGUGGGAACUGCCUUUAGAACUGGCAGGCUAGAGUCUUGGAGAGGGGAGUGGAAUUCCAGGUGUAGCGGUGAAAUGCGUAGAUAUCUGGAGGAACAUCAGUGGCGAAGGCGGCUCCCUGGCCAAAGACUGACGCUCAUGUGCGAAAGUGUGGGUAGCGAACAGGAUUAGAUACCCUGGUAGUCCACACCGUAAACGCUGUCUACUAGCUGUUUGUGUAUUUAAUACGUGAGUAGCGAAGCUAACGCGCUAAGUAGACCGCCUGGGGAGUACGGCCGCAAGGUUAAAACUCAAAUG
rnacentral:rRNA from 1 species